CAGACUACUAAGUACAAGCCUAAGCAAUUUUAUUUGUUGCAUCAGAUCUACAUUAAUGUAAGUGUGAAAGACUGACUAACAAGCGGCAUGUGUGGAAGUAAGACUUAACUGCAUAUUUUUAUUUUUCUUGUGUACAAAAUUUUAAUGUACGAAUAAUACUGUAAGCCCAGGAAUAUUUGCUAGCCUUUUAUUACGCAAAUUUGACAUAUGAAACAUUUUUGGCGCGAAUAAUACUAUUGUAAAUGCUUUCAGGAUAACAGGUCCUCUUGUGUAAUUCACCAAAUAUUUUGGCCACGAUAUUUCUGGACUUACAGUAUUUAAAUUUUACCCAAUGAAGAAAAAAAUACUACUGUGUAGGGCAUGUUAAGAAUUCUUGCAUAUAAAAAAAAAAAAAAUUCCUAAUUUUAGGGAAAUUAUUUUUAGAAUUUAAAGUGGUCAAACUUAGUUAAGUAUAUUGCCAUGUCGUUGUAAUGUGGGUGAACAAUAAAUAGUAAAUAUGAAAAUAUUUUAAAGUACAACUAUUAUUACUCUACAGAAUGUUCUUGGGGAUUCACAGCAGCGUGGAGGUGUAGUACUUUGAUAAUCUUGUUCAGACAACGCCAUUUUCUCUCGCGGGAUGUGCUCCAUUUUGUGGGCAUAUUAGGAAUUCUUAAACUCUUAUGGAGAUGGAACAGGAAAGCACUGGGGAUUCUGUUUUAAACUCCCACAUUAGUUCUGUGUUGCCAAACCUCACCACCUGUGUGCUCAAUUCUGUUUUGGACACACUCAAAAACCUGGGUGUAGAAACCCUGGAUGAUUUCAGAUUUGUAAAAGAUGAUGAUCUCCUGAUGGUCCUCAAGCCAAUAGAAGUUCGAAAACUCCUAGCCAGCUUUACAGUCACAUGUGAAACCACGAUUUCCAGCAGUCCAUGCUCAUCCAGAACAGAGACCUCAACAGUCUCCAGCCCAGGGUGCUCUUUUGCACAGAGUUGUAUCGAGUUGGAUGAAUCACUUUCACCUUUGGAAGCUGACUGGUUCCUUCGGUUUUGAGAUACCAUGGGAAAAACUCCCUACUGACCUCCUUUACAAGUUAGAAAGGCCAUCGCCAAAGCAACGCAGAGAAAUGAUACGACUCAUUAUUAAUGAAGUCACAGGGGUCUGCAAGAGGCCUUCAAAGAAACAUCUUACAGAUAUAGCAAGAAGAAUUGUGGCAAAAUAUCCUAAAUCUUUGCAGGAUGUUAUCGAAGGCCACAUAGUUGGCAGUGGAUAUGAUUCCUUGGUAAAACAGCUGCAGAGCAGAGCAGAUAAUGUGAAGCGUACACAGUUUUCUACCCCCAAAAGACAGUUUCAACACAGUAGUGGGAGCGACACGGAAGAAGUUCCUGCAAAGGAACAAGCUUUACCUCAAGACACUUACGGUUGCAUAAACUGGGAUCCCGAGCACCUGCCAAUCACAGAGACACUUACAAGUCAAAAACAGCAACAAGAAGAAAUGAAAACCAUGUUCAGAGAAAGAAACUGGGAUACACAGAUAAUCACCAAAACAAUGGUGGCAACGUACUACACUCAGAAAAAAGACAUCAUCCGAGGUAUGGAAACUGAAAAAAUAAGGAGGGAGUGGCCAUUUCUGUUUGAAAUGCCAGGAUUACAAGCACACUUCAGGGCACUUGCAGGUGUACAAUUAGAAGGGACAUUUUUUGAGACCGUAAAAAAACAAAUCGCACAGAAUUCUGGCCUACAUGGACACUCUCAACAAUGAGAAACAAAGAAAAACUGCAAGAGUUUUGGCACAGAUCGAAGUUGCAAAGAAGGACACAAAGUCUAAAUUACCGGAGAUGCCAGGGUUGGUUUUGCUGCUGCUUGCUUACUUUGGUGAAGACGACAAGCAAAUGUUUUUCCAGGUGGAUGACACUUGCUUACCUUCUGAAGUGCCAACAUCUGAUCUGCCUGCAUCACCUUGCAUUAUUUUCUGUGGUAUGUGUUUUGGUAAUCC